AGUAGAGUGGCUGAGUGAGUAGGCGGUAGAUUGUAAAUCUAUUAAGGAGAGUAUUUCUCUUCUAUUA
rnacentral:tRNA from 1 species